GGCCUGCUGUGCAAGGACUACAGCUCGAAAAGGUUAACCUUAUUACAACUUGCACGGGUGUGUUCCUCCUCCUUCUCUUUCAGCAAUAUCAUAUGAUCCCACAGAGGCUUCCUGUUUUUUUAAACAGGACACGGUCUGUUGAAGAGCGUCAGGAAAAGGAUUUGUUAUUACAAGUAAGCCUCGACGAAUGCAGUCUGAAGCACGAUUUUAACCUUAUGGGCAGCAGGAGACAGAGAACUGUGGACGAUGGAGAGCGGAAUCUCAUUGGACCUCCAUCUAGGGUCUCCGGUGAGACCCUCCUGGACAAAGAUGUCAACACACCGGCUUUCGUCUACGUAUUGGCGUUUUUCGCUGCCUUGGGGGGAUUCCUGUUCGGGUAUGACACUGGGGUGGUUUCAGGGGCAAUGCUGCUCCUGAAGAAGGAGAUGAACCUGAAUGCCCUGUGGCAGGAGCUUCUGGUUUCCAGUACUGUCGGGGCUGCGGCUCUGUCUGCCCUGAUUGGAGGCUUCUUGAAUGGGUGGUUGGGGCGCAGGAUCUGUAUCCUUAUGGCCAGUUUCAUCUUCAGUGUUGGUGGGAUUAUACUGAGCAUCGCCAUGGAUAAAGUGGUCCUCCUUGUUGGCAGAAUCAUAGUGGGUUUGGGCAUUGGCAUUGCCUCUAUGACUGUUCCUGUAUACAUCGCUGAAGUUUCCCCCCCUCACAUGAGAGGUCAGCUGGUUACGGUCAAUACCCUUUUCAUCACUGGUGGCCAGUUCAUUGCCAGUGUGGUUGAUGGGGCCUUUAGUUACAUGAGCCACGAUGGCUGGAGGUACAUGUUGGGCCUUUCCGUCCUGCCUGCUGUGCUGCAGUUCUUCGGCUUCAUCUUCCUACCGGAGAGCCCACGCUGGCUCCUCCAAAAGGGCCAGAGCCAAGAGGCCCGUCAGGUUCUCAGCCGGAUCAGAGAAAACCGGAACGUCGACGAGGAGUACGACACCAUCAAAGCCAGCAUCGAGGAAGAGGAGGUGGGCGGAGGAGGUGUUGUCAUGUUGCGCAUCCUCUGCCACGGUCCGACUCGCAGGGCUCUCAUUGUUGGUUGUGGGCUCCAGAUGUUUCAGCAGCUGUGUGGGAUCAACACAGUCAUGUACUACAGUGCAACCAUUCUACAGAUGGCAGGAGUGCGGGAUGAUAAAGAGGCUAUCUGGCUAGCAGCAGCGACUUCGGCUACAAACUUUGUCUUCACCCUGUUUGGGGUCUGGCUUGUGGAGAGAGUGGGUCGCAGGAAGCUGACACUGGGCAGCCUUUUAGGUACUGGUCUGAGUCUGACUUUGUUGGCAGUCGGGUUCCUGCUUUCUGCCCAACACUCUCCGCCCGUUACCCUCCACCCAGUUGAUUCUCAUAACUCAACCUGCAGACUGUAUAGGUCCUGUGAAUUGUGCAUGCUGGAUCCGGAUUGUGGAUUUUGUUAUCGUGAAAACAGCACAGGAGUGUACGAUUCUUCGUGUGUUCCUGUCAAUCAGGCGUCCACAGACCUUGCAGCCUGGGGAAGGUGUUCUAACGGGACUGAGUCAACUAACAGCCUAUUUUGGGCUUACAACUACUGUCCUACAUCCUACUCCUGGAUAGUCCUGAUGGGACUCCUCCUCUACCUUGCAUUUUUUGCUCCAGGUAUGGGCCCCAUGCCUUGGACGGUGAACUCGGAGAUCUACCCGCUCUGGGCACGCAGCACCGGGAAUGCCUGUUCAGCCGGCGUCAACUGGAUAUGCAACGUACUCGUGUCUCUGACGUUUCUUCAUGUUGCUGAAUUUCUGACCUACUAUGGUGCGUUCUUCAUGUACACGGGACUGGUGGUGUUGGGCCUCCUCUUUGUCUUCGGCUGCCUCCCAGAGACCCAGGGCUUACAGCUGGAGGACAUCGAGAACCUGUUCACUGGGCAGCUCUGCUCCUGUGGAAACUCUGUGCCUAACGACAAUCGUCACGUCCACUACAUCCGGGUAACAGGCAGCAACUAUCUGCACUCUGACAACGAGGCCUCAGACGUAGAGUAGACGGUGCAGAUUUUCUGUCUCCACUCUGUUCUUUUGUGUCCACUCUUUUCCUGCUUAAAGACUGGGAAGCUUCACAAGUGGGGAAUCGUAUUUCCGUUUAGGGGUUCUCAUCAAAAACCCAGCUCUCCAGGAACUGACUAUAACUUCUGUCUUCUCUGGCCCAGGUGACUCUUGUCUUUUAAAAUUUUUUUAAUGGCUGCCUUUAUUUUCCUUGACAUGUUUUCUGUCGUUUUCCAUUGUCUUUUUCUUUGUUGUAAAAGGGAAUAAUUGCCAGCAUUAUAGUUAUCAGAGUUUACUUGUGCCAGUCUUGCUGGGAUGGGUCUCAGAAAGACUGAGAGAGACAAUGUGCCCCUCUAUCAAGAAACGCUUUUGCUGCCAAAGGAAUCAUCUACUAACAAAAUCUUUUGACUGAAUGAACAACAGAAAGCUUAGCAAACAAAGAAUUGCUCAGAAGAAUGUGAACAAUUCUUUGCAUGACUAAAAUCUAAUCAUUCCUCUUUUGUACAAACUUGAGGCUGCAAACCUGAUACACCAGCAAGAAUGUGUUUUCUUUUAAUUUUAGUUUCAAUUCUGGUUUCAAUUCCAUGAAGAAUCCUGAACGAUGAGACGGACAUUGGGGACCGGUUAAUUGCUUCCUACCAGAUCAGACUUCUUGAAAACACAUUCUUGUUUAAAAUCACUAAAUUGGGUUUCAGCUUUUUAAAUCUGGACUGGAGUAAAACAAAUCGCCGUCAUUUAAACGUGUAAGAUUGCAGGAAUGAGUUUUCCAACACUUUCUUGUUUUUUUUAAGCAAUGUUCAGAAGUCAGCCCAGCACAUUAUGGAGCGGUGGAUUCAGACAGUGCCAUAGCCUAUAUAACUCUGAGAUAAUCGUGACCAGAAACCCCUGAACAGCUUAAUUCAAAAUGUCCUUUUUUUUUGCACUGGUUCACUUUGAUAUGUACCAGUUUGCUUUGAUGGUACUGCUAGCAGCUACUGACUGUACAGAACUUCCUACUGAACAUUUUUGUUAGAUUGUAUUGUUUUUAUGAGACCCAAAAAAACCUGAUCUAAUUAGGAGCUGCACAAAGCAUCCAUAUGGGAACACUUUUAUAUCUGCAUAAUUUGUGGAUGCAAAUUUUAUCUUGUUGCAUAAUGUUGUGUUGGUUACUAUAAGAAAUGUAAACGUUUCAUGAAAUUUGGUUUUGGAAAAUGUACAAAAAAAUAAAAAAAUACACUGUUCAAGUGGCAUAAUUUACCCUCAGGUUCACAUCCUAAUGUGCAUUUUUUUUUUUUACUUUUAACUAGAAAAAAAAAGGGGG